UACGUAGGUGGCAAGCGUUGUCCGGAAUUAUUGGGCGUAAAGAGCUUGUAGGCGGUCUGUCGCGUCUGCUGUGAAAAUCCGGGGCUCAACCCCGGACUUGCAGUGGGUACGGGCAGACUAGAGUGUGGUAGGGGAGACUGGAAUUCCUGGUGUAGCGGUGAAAUGCGCAGAUAUCAGGAGGAACACCGACGGCGAAGGCAGCUCGCUGGGACGGUACUGACGCUGAGGCGCGAAAGCGUGGGGAGCGAACAGG
rnacentral:rRNA from 1 species